GUUGCCUCCUAGCUGGUUUCUUUGCUGGUUGUCCGGCUGUUCACCUGAGCAGGAAAGCACUAUGGAUGCCCAUCGCAGUGUGGUCAUUCCUGGCUUUACAGCCUCUGAUCAACCCCAAGGGAAGCACAAAGACUUUUUAACCCAGGUAAAUCAGCUCAACUGGUUGACAAGGAGUGCUGUGUCAGAGGAGGAGGCGUUCUGAUACUAGAAGAUUUACAGCUGGCUUGAUAAGUGCAGUUGAAGAGUCUUAGUGAAGUGAAUGGAGGAUGAGAACAUUCGACUGAAGAACAAACAUAAGGUGGCUGCAUAAUACAGUGACUUUUCCUGGUUUUCAGACCUCGGAAGGAGUAUACCAACAAUGCAUCUAGAAGCACCUUGCAUGGGUACUGUUGAGAUCAGCGUGGCAAUUUAUACUGUAAAGCUGUAGUAUUGACUUUGGUCAAAGGGGAUUUUCUGGAUGAUGGUGUGUGGAGCAGUGAAGCAUUUUGAAACGUCCCUUACCUUAACGCUGCUCUGCUGACUGGUACCUGUAGGAGAGACUGGAGAAGAGCCUUCUGGAAGGGAAAGACGCCCAAAGCCACUUUCAGUCUUGCCAGAUGGGUAAGUAGUUUUCCUCUUUAAACAGAUCAGCCAUGGAAAUGUUGCCUUUCUGACUGCGCUGGUUUGGGGCAUCCUGGCAAGAUAUUUUAUGGUGUUGAUGAGCGAGUUCAGCAAAUGCAUAUAAUGUUUCUCAAACUCUUUCAUUACCAUUCAGGGAACAUCUGGGAUUUUGCUUUUCCUAUUAAAGAUGACUACUGGUGUGUAGGAAUAUAACUUCAUAAGCCUAUGAA